rnacentral:rRNA from 1 species
GAUGAACGCUGGCGGCGUGCCUAAUACAUGCAAGUCGAGCGAACGGACGAGAAGCUUGCUUCUCUGAUGUUAGCGGCGGACGGGUGAGUAACACGUGGAUAACCUACCUAUAAGACUGGGAUAACUUCGGGAAACCGGAGCUAAUACCGGAUAAUAUUUUGAACCGCAUGGUUCAAAAGUGAAAGACGGUCUUGCUGUCACUUAUAGAUGGGUCCGCGCUGCAUUAGCUAGUUGGUAAGGUAACGGCUUACCAAGGCAACGAUGCAUAGCCGACCUGAGAGGGUGAUCGGCCACACUGGAACUGAGACACGGUCCAGACUCCUACGGGAGGCAGCAGUAGGGAAUCUGCCGCAAUGGGCGAAAGCCUGACGGAGCAACGCCGCGUGAGUGAUGAAGGUCUUCGGAUCGUAAAACUCUGUUAUUAGGGAAGAACAUAUGUGUAAGUAACUGUGCACAUCUUGACGGUACCUAAUCAGAAAGCCACGGCUAACUACGUG